GGGAACUGUGAGACAGGUGCUGCAUGGCUGUCGUCAGCUCGUGUUGUGAAAUGUUGGGUUAAGUCCCGCAACGAGCGCAACCCUUAUCCUUUGUUGCCAGCGAUUAGGUCGGGAACUCAAAGGAGACUGCCAGUGAUAAACUGGAGGAAGGUGGGGAUGACGUCAAGUCAUCAUGGCCCUUACGACCAGGGCUACACACGUGCUACAAUGGCGUAUACAAAGAGAAGCGACCUCGCGAGAGCAAGCGGACCUCAUAAAGUGCGUCGUAGUCCGGAUUGGAGUCUGCAACUCGACUCCAUGAAGUCGGAAUCGCUAGUAAUCGUG
rnacentral:rRNA from 1 species